rnacentral:rRNA from 1 species
CGCGUAGGCGGUUUUUUUAAGUCAGAUGUGAAAGCCCGGGGCUCAACCCUGGAAGUGCAUUUGAAACUGAAAGACUUGAGUAUGGGAGAGGGAAGUGGAAUUCCUGGUGUAGAGGUGAAAUUCGUAGAUAUCAGGAGGAACACCGGUGGCGAAGGCGACUUCCUGGACCAAUACUGACGCUGAGGCGCGAAGGCGUGGGUAGCAAACA